rnacentral:rRNA from 1 species
GUGGGGAAUAUUGGACAAUGGGCGAAAGCCUGAUCCAGCCAUGCCGCGUGUGUGAAGAAGGUCUUCGGAUUGUAAAGCACUUUAAGUUGGGAGGAAGGGCAGUAAGUUAAUACCUUGCUGUUUUGACAUUACCAACAGAAAUAGCACCGGCUAACUUCGUGCCAGCAGCCGCGGUAAUACGAAGGGUGCAAGCGUUAAUCGGAAUUACUGGGCGUAAAGCGCGCGUAGGUGGUUUUGUAAGUUGGAGGUGAAAUCCCCGGGCUCAACCUGGGAACUGCCUCCAAAACUGCAUGACUAGAGUACGGUAGAGGGUAGUGGAAUUUCCUGUGUAGCGGUGAAAUGCGUAGAUAUAGGAAGGAACACCAGUGGCGAAGGCGACUACCUGGACUGAUACUGACACUGAGGUGCGAAAGCGUGGGGAGCAAACAGGAUUAGAAACCCUAGUAAUCC